UACAGAGGUCUCAAGCGUUGUUCGGAUUCAUUGGGCGUAAAGGGUGCGUAGGCGGCGCGGUAAGUCGGGUGUGAAAUCUCCGAGCUUAACUCGGAAAGGUCAACUGAUACUGCUCGACUAGAGUGCGGAAGGGGCAACUGGAAUUCUUGGUGUAGCGGUGAAAUGCGUAGAUAUCAAGAGGAACACCUGCGGCGAAGGCGGGUUGCUGGGCCGACACUGACGCUGAUGCGCGAAAGCUAGGGGAGCGAACGGG
rnacentral:rRNA from 1 species